AACGAUGUGUUUGAGCGACAUUGUGAACCAAGAAAUAACUUCUGAAUUCGUCGCAGUUAAGAUGACCUCAAGUGGUUAUAACUAUAGUGUAUUAAGAGUUGUUAUGGGGGUGGGGAAAAGUCCCUCCUUCUACUUGGCCGGCCGCUCUUUGGGGCCGGGUGGAAUAGGUUCGUUGCUUGGGGUGAUCAAGAGAUGGAAGCUCUUGGAGAUGGACGUUUCGGGCUCUGGAGUCUGGUCCAGUCUUCAGGAGUUGGUACGUCUGAUGACUGCCACUUGACGAAAAUUAAUAGAAAAAACGGUUGCGAGGUUAUGUUCGAUGAUGUCAUGGAAGUGAUAUCCUUAGAUGUUCGAUCGAUUCUCGUUAUUCCAAGUGAACGAGGACGUCGGCUAUUUGUAUACAUGCACCGAUGAAACUCGAUUUGAACCACAAUUUAAACAGAAAUCUGGAGGAUAACUUGUGAAAUGGAAUGUUCGUUUUGGUUCUUUGAAUUCAAGUGAUUUUGGUUUUGAACGGUGUGCUCAGUGAUGUCACGUGUGAGGUGUGUUACAAAUCGAAAACGCAGCUUUUCGCACGACAAAGAAAUUUUCCAACAGAUCCAGACCGAAACCGGCGGACCGAUGAAGAAUAAGACCCUAGCGAGAAUAAUUCGAGGUGGGAAAACCCGAACGAAACCUCACGUAAG